rnacentral:rRNA from 1 species
AUUGAACGCUGGCGGGAUGCUUAACACAUGCAAGUCGAACGAGUGGCGGACGGGUGAGUAAUAUAUCGGAACGUGCCCAGUAGCGGGGGAUAACUACUGGAAACGGUGGCUAAUACCGCAUACGAUUGGAUCGGCCGAUAUCGGAUUAGCUAGUUGGUGGGGUAAAGGCUCACCAAGGCAACGAUCCGUAGCUGGUUUGAGAGGAGGACCAGCCACACUGGGACUGAGACACGGUCCAGACUCCUACGGGAGGCAGCAGUGGGGAAUAUUGGACAAUGGGUGAAAUCCUGAUCCAGCCAUGCCGCGUGUAUGAGAAGGCCUUCGGGUUGUAAAGUACUUUUGGCAGAGAAGCGGUAUCUGCAGAAUAAGCACCGGCUAACUACGUGCCAGCAGCCGCGGUAAUAC